GCUGUGGAUUGUCCUUUGGACAAUGGUAGGAGAGCGUUCUAAGGGCGUUGAAGCAUGAUCGUAAGGACAUGUGGAGCGCUUAGAAGUGAGAAUGCCGGUGUGAGUAGCGAAAGACGGGUGAGAAUCCCGUCCACCGAUUGACUAAGGUUUCCAGAGGAAGGCUCGUCCGCUCUGGGUUAGUCGGGUCCUAAGCUGAGGCCGACAGGCGUAGGCGAUGGAUAACAGGUUGAUAUUCCUGUACCACCUAUAAUCGUUUUAAUCGAUGGGGGGACGCAGUAGGAUAGGCGAAGCGUGCGAUUGGAUUGCACGUCUAAGCAGUAAGGCUGAGUAUUAGGCAAAUCCGGUACUCGUUAAGGCUGAGCUGUGAUGGGGAGAAGACAUUGUGUCUUCGAGUCGUUGAUUUCACACUGCCGAGAAAAGCCUCUAGAUAGAAAAUAGGUGCCCGUACCGCAAACCGACACAGGUAGUCAAGAUGAGAAUUCUAAGGUGAGCGAGCGAACUCUCGUUAAGGAACUCGGCAAAAUGACCCCGUAACUUCGGGAGAAGGGGUGCUCUUUAGGGUUAACGCCCAGAAGAGCCGCAGUGAAUAGGCCCAAGCGACUGUUUAUCAAAAACACAGGUCUCUGCUAAACCGUAAGGUGAUGUAUAGGGGCUGACGCCUGCCCGGUGCUGGAAGGUUAAGAGGAGUGGUUAGCUUCUGCGAAGCUACGAAUCGAAGCCCCAGUAAACGGCGGCCGUAACUAUAACGGUCCUAAGGUAGCGAAAUUCCUUGUCGGGUAAGUUCCGACCCGCACGAAAGGCGUAACGAUUUGGGCACUGUCUCAACGAGAGACUCGGUGAAAUCAUAGUACCUGUGAAGAUGCAGGUUACCCGCGACAGGACGGAAAGACCCCGUGGAGCUUUACUGUAGCCUGAUAUUGAAAUUCGGCACAGCUUGUACAGGAUAGGUAGGAGCCUUUGAAACGUGAGCGCUAGCUUACGUGGAGGCGCUGGUGGGAUACUACCCUAGCUGUGUUGGCUUUCUAACCCGCACCACUUAUCGUGGUGGGAGACAGUGUCAGGCGGGCAGUUUGACUGGGGCGGUCGCCUCCUAAAAGGUAACGGAGGCGCUCAAAGGUUCCCUCAGAAUGGUUGGAAAUCAUUCAUAGAGUGUAAAGGCAUAAGGGAGCUUGACUGCGAGACCUACAAGUCGAG
rnacentral:rRNA from 1 species